GUGAGUAUAGUGGAUGUGGGUGGCUCUUAUUUGGCCGGUCCUCUCACAUCUCCAUAUUCACAG
rnacentral:pre_miRNA from 1 species